UGCUCUAUGGCUUAAUUGGUUAAAGCGCCGGAUCAAUGAAUGCGGAAUCGUGGGUUUGAAUCCUACCAGAACGC
rnacentral:tRNA from 1 species